CCUACGGGAGGCAGCAGUAGGGAAUCUUCCACAAUGGACGCAAGUCUGAUGGAGCAACGCCGCGUGAGUGAAGAAGGGUUUCGGCUCGUAAAGCUCUGUUGUUGGUGAAGAAGGACAGGGGUAGUAACUGACCUUUGUUUGACGGUAAUCAAUUAGAAAGUCACGGCUAACUACGUGCCAGCAGCCGCGGUAAU
rnacentral:rRNA from 1 species